AACAGGACGGUUGAGUGGUUAAGGUGUUGGACUCGAGAUUCAUUAGACAAUUGUUCUUGUGGGUUCACACCCUACUCCUGUUA
rnacentral:tRNA from 1 species